rnacentral:rRNA from 1 species
GAUGAACGCUGGCGGCGUGCCUAAUACAUGCAAGUCGAGCGAACAGAUGAGGAGCUUGCUCCUCUGACGUUAGCGGCGGACGGGUGAGUAACACGUGGAUAACCUACCUAUAAGACUGGGAUAACUUCGGGAAACCGGAGCUAAUACCGGAUAAUAUAUUGAACCGCAUGGUUCAAUAGUGAAUGACGGUUUUGCUGUCACUUAUAGAUGGAUCCGCGCCGCAUUAGCUAGUUGGUAAGGUAACGGCUUACCAAGGCAACGAUGCGUAUCCGACCUGAGAGGGUGAUCGGCCACACUGGAACUGAGACACGGUCCAGACUCCUACGGGAGGCAGCAGUAGGGAAUCUUCCGCAAUGGGCGAAAGCCUGACGGAGCAACGCCGCGUGAGGGAUGAAGGUCUUCGGAUCGUAAAACUCUGUUAUUAGGGAAGAACAAAUGUGUAAGUAACUAUGCACGUCUUGACGGUACCUAAUCAGAAAGCCACGGCUAACUACGUG